rnacentral:rRNA from 1 species
AGCCAUUCAUUCAAAGAGUGCGUAACAGCUCACUAGUCGAGAGUCCCUGCGCCGAAAAUAUCCGGGGCUGAAACACAACACCGAAGCUGUGGAAUCAUACCUAGUAUGAUUGGUAGAGGAGCAUUCUUAAGACCGACGAAGCUGUACCGGUAAGGAGCAGUGGAGGGAUAAGAAGAGAGAAUGCCGGAAUGAGUAGCGAGAGGAAGGUGAGAAUCCUUCCGGCCGAAUAUCCAAGGAUUCCAGGGUAAAGCUGAUCUGCCCUGGGUAAGUCGGGACCUAAGGAGAGGCCGAGAGGCGUAUCCGAUGGACAACAGGUUUAGAUUCCUGUACCACAUAUGGUCAGAACUGUGGGGACGCAGAAGGAAAGCAUGAGCCAGGAAUGGAAAGACUGGUACAAGCAGAGGGGAUGGUGUGCUGGCAAAUCCGCACACGAAAAUCCUUGCUGUGAUGUGGAGCGAACUAGAGUAGCGAAGCAUGCGGACCGGCUGCCGAGAAAAGCCGCUAUUGUGCCAUAUGUGCCCGUACCGUAAACCGACACAGGUGGAUGAGGAGAGAAUCCUAAGGCCGACGGAAGAAGUAUUGUUAAGGAACUCGGCAAAAUGACCCCGUAACUUCGGGAGAAGGGGUGCCUGAGAAAUCAGGCCGCAGAGAAUAGGCUCAAGCAACUGUUUAGCAAAAACACAGGUCUAUGCAAAACCGAAAGGUGAAGUAUAUGGGCUGACGCCUGCCCGGUGCUGGAAGGUUAAGAGGAGAGGUUAGCGCAAGCGAAGCUUUGAAUUUAAGCCCCAGUAAACGGCGGCCGUAACUAUAACGGUCCUAAGGUAGCGAAAUUCCUUGUCGGGUAAGUUCCGACCCGCACGAAAGGCGUAAUGAUUUGAGCACUGUCUCGACAAUACAUCCGGUGAAAUUGAAGUACCAGUGAAGAUGCUGGUUACCCGCGCCAGGACGGAAAGACCCCAUGGAGCUUUACUCCAGUUUGGUACUGGGAUUCGGUACUGCAUGUACAGGAUAGGUGGGAGACGAAGAAGUUAGGACGCCAGUCUUAACAGAGUCGCUGUUGGGAUACCACCCUUGCAGUAUUGGGUUUCUAACCAGCCGCUGUGAACCAGCGGUGGGACAAUGCCAGGCGGGGAGUUUGACUGGGGCGGUCGCCUCCGAAAGGGUAUCGGAGGCGCUCAAAGGUUCCCUCAGAAUGGUCGGAAACCAUUUAAAGAGUGCAAAGGCAGAAGGGAGCUUGACUGCGACACCGACGGGUGGAGCAGGUACGAAAGUAGGACUUAGUGAUCCGGUGGCAUAAAGUGGGAUUGCCAUCGCUCAACGGAUAAAAGCUACCCUGGGGAUAACAGGCUUAUCACUCCCAAGAGUUCACAUCGACGGAGUGGUUUGGCACCUCGAUGUCGGCUCAUCGCAUCCUGGGGCUGUAGCAGGUCCCAAGGGUUGGGCUGUUCGCCCAUUAAAGCGGUACGCGAGCUGGGUUCAGAACGUCGUGAGACAGUUCGGUCCCUAUCCGGCGCGGGCGUAGGAUAUCUGAGGGGAGCUGGCCUUAGUACGAGAGGACCGGGCUGGACGGACCACUGGUGCAUCAGCUGGAUACCAAAUCCAUAGCUGGGUAGCCAAGUCCGGAAGGGAUAAACGCUGAAGGCAUCUAAGCGUGAAGCCCCCCCCAAGAUGAGAUGUCCCUGUCUAUAAGACAGUAAGACCCCUGAAAGAGUAUCAGGUAGAUAGGGCAGAGGUGGAAGCACGGUAACGUGUGGAGCUGACUGUUACUAAUCGGUCGAGGGCUUGACCAAA